ACUGACUCCAGAUCAGUCGAUC
rnacentral:tRNA from 1 species